AUUGAACGCUGGCGGCAGGCCUAACACAUGCAAGUCGAGCGGGGUUUUCGGACCUAGCGGCGGACGGGUGAGUAAUGCGUAGGAAGCUACCCGAUAGAGGGGGAUACCAGUUGGAAACGACUGUUAAUACCGCAUAAUGUCUACGGACCAAAGUGUGGGACCUUCGGGCCACAUGCUAUCGGAUGCGCCUACGUGGGAUUAGCUAGUUGGUGCGGUAAUGGCUCACCAAGGCGACGAUCCCUAGCUGGUUUGAGAGGAUGAUCAGCCACACUGGAACUGAGACACGGUCCAGACUCCUACGUGAGGCAGCAGUGGGGAAUAUUGGACAAUGGGCGCAAGCCUGAUCCAGCCAUGCCGCGUGUGUGAAGAAGGCCUUCGGGUUGUAAAGCUCUUUCAGUAGGGAGGAAGCGUUGUGUGUUAAUAGUACACAGCGUUGACGUUACCUACAGAAGAAGCACCGGCUAACUCUGUGCCAGCAGCCGCGGUAACAC
rnacentral:rRNA from 1 species